rnacentral:lncRNA from 1 species
AUCCAACAGCAGCUAUAGGAUAUGUAAGCUUGACAUCUGCAGUUUCAGAAGUGUCAACAUCAGACUGUUUGGCGUGCCUUGAUGUGAAACAGCUGUUCUGGUUCAGCAUGAGUGAAAAAUGCUGCAUCUCUUCAGGAACAGAACUGUAAAACUGGGUACCGGUGUUUCUGAGGCGAUGCUGUGCACGAUGGACACGAUUCCAACAGAACCUUCUUCGUGUCCUAAUUUAGGCUCAUUGCUUGCACAAAAAAACCCUUAAUAGUUGGAAUGCAUAAGUCCCUUAUGUGUGAAAUUAAUCUCUUCUGUUAUUGCUUAAUGAUGUCCAUUGCAAAUUUAUUUAAAAGCAACUAUCUUCAGACUGCUGUCUCCUCUUAGUACAGUUCACCAGCUCAAAGAUUGCUCAAUAACUUUUCAGGGUAAAAUUUUCUUUAAAUCCUUCCAAUAAAACUGAAGAUUUUGGAGCGUGCAAUUAUUGACACAUAAUCUAUUUGUGGAUGUCUAACUAACAAGCUGACAACUAAAUACCAGAAACCAAUCGUGACUGAAAAUUGUAUGGAAGUAACAUGGAAAUAGUUUUAUUUCUACCUUUUAGGCAAUACAGAUAAUUUGCAUUUAGUGAGUGCCCUAUGAACGAAGAGUUUUCUUCAAGUAACGAUGGAGUUCAGCCUCUUAAAGUCUCUGAAGCAUUAAAAGUCUCAGAUGUAAUCGAUUCAUCGUGAUUAAUUUUGUAGCGUUAAUAGUGCAGAUAGUGUGAGGGCGGCCCAUCUCAUGAAUAACAAUUAUCA